GUGCUCGCUUUGGCAGCACAUAUACUAAAACUGGAAUGCUACAGUGAGGAUUAGCAUGGCCCCUGCGCAAGAAAAUUCAUGAAAUUCGCCUGUUACUG
rnacentral:snRNA from 1 species